AGGAACAACGCUGGCGGCGUGCCUAAUGCAUGCAAGUCGGACGGGAGCCUCUUCGGAGGUCGACCGUGGCGGACGGGUGAGGAACACGUGGGAAACCUGCCCAUGGGCGGGGGAUAAGCCAGGGAAACCUGGGGUAAGACCCCAUAGACUUGGUUGCUGGUAGGGUGAUCAAGCAAAAGCGCAAGCUGCGCAUGGAGGGUCCUGCGGCCUAUCAGCUUGUUGGUGGGGUAAUGGCCUACCAAGGCGACGACGGGUA
rnacentral:rRNA from 1 species